rnacentral:rRNA from 1 species
CAAGCGGAUCUCUUAAAGCUGUUCUCAGUUCGGACUGCAGUCUGCAACUCGACUGCACGAAGCUGGAAUCGCUAGUAAUCGCGGAUCAGCACGCCGCGGUGAAUACGUUCCCGGGCCUUGUACACACCGCCCGUCACACCAUGGAAGUCUGCAAUGCCCGCAGCCGGUGGCCUAACCACUUAUGUGGAAGGAGCCGUCUAAGGCAGGGCAGAUGACUGGGGUGAAGUCGUAACAAGGUACC